GGGUUCGAAUUGAAACAGAGUCUGCCAUUCAUCAGGUAUCUGUUAGGUGCCAGACACUGCAGCGGGCACUGCAACAGUGAACAAAAAGGACCCAGUCCUUGCCCUUAUGGCAACAGUGACAAUAAACAAGCGAUUAUUUAAUUUUGAAGGGAAAUCUGGCCUCAAGGCCAACUUGGGAGCCAGGAACCCAGGCCUGUGGUGCAGAGAUGGAAGGGGCGGGUCCUUGGAGCCCCAGCUCUGCGAGGUGUUGCCCCUGCUGUGGAACUCCGCUGGACCCAGUCUGGGUGUGGGGAGCCGUUGGGGGCACCUGCAUCUCCACCCCAGAUGCUGAGGUUAUUCCCAGGCUUGGUUUGUUGUCUCUUGUUUUGCAAACAGCACAGCAGAGCCUCCUCUCCCCCGCCCCUCCCUUCCAAGCUGAGUCUAUUUAUUCCUAGCGACAAGCCCUGAGGAUCCCAGGGGGGGUGGCCUCAAGGACCUGCAGGGGCCUCGUGUCCCUGGCAGGCGCCAGUCCUCCCUCUCAGGCACAGAGAAGAAGCCAGAGGGUCAGAAACUGCAGAGGUUCCCGCCCCUCGCCUCCACCCCCGGUGCUGCGCCCGUCAGUCCGGGAGAAGCCCAAAGAUCUUGGGGCCAAGGAUUAGGGUCUCCCCUGGACCUCAAAGGUCAACACUAUUCCUGGGCGCCGCGGAGUGGCGGGACUCCUCAGUGCCAGGGUACAGCUGGAGAGAACACCUUGGUCCUCGCUGAAAGAGCCUUGACAACAGAGUCGAAAACACUCCCUCCUCCAAAAGGAAUUAAGGCCUCCUUCACACCUCCUGGGGGUAAGCUGGGGCGGGGGAGCCGGAGAAUGGCCCUGGCUGCCAGGGCUCUGCACCCCUCACCCGAGACAGACUGCUGCAGGCUCCCGCUGCUCGCUGGCGGCUCGCGGGGUGUGGGCCGGGGGCAGCGAGAAGACAGAGCGCUGCGGGAGGGGGCGGGGCAGGUCCCCACUGCCCCGCAGUCGGGCCAGCCAGGUUGGGGGCCGCGGGAGGGGGCUGGGCGGCUCGAGGCGGAGAGGGAGGUGGGGGCGGGGUCUGACCCCCCCUUCGGGCCGGGGGCCGGGGGCGGGGUCCGGGCGGGGCGGGCCCGCGCGCACUUCCUCGCCGGGGCUGGGGCCGCGCGCCCACUCGCCCACACGGUCCGUGUGCAGCCGGCAGCUCGCGCCGCCCGGCUCGGCGCGGCCCGCAGGUAGGAGGCGCCGAGGGACGCGGCUCCUGGUUCCCGGCCCCACCCGCUCCGCGCGCGUCCGGCUCCCGCCGCCAGCUGCGAGGUGAGCGCCCCGCCGACCCCGGCUCCGAACCGCAGCUGCCGGCCCCCGCCCCGGGCAUGCUGCGCCCCGGAGAGCGCCCGCCGGGGCCGGACCGCUCCCCCGGCCGCCUGGAGAGGCGGGGGCCAAUGCGAGUGUUGGACGGGGGAGGGGACCAAGUUUGAAAUAGAAAAGCCAGAGAGACAGAGACAGACCGGGAGGGUUGGAGGAACGGAGGCUCCGGGGAAGCCCAGUGGGGCGCAGGACCGGAGGCUACGGAGAUCGCUGAAGCGAGGACAGAAACUGGACGUGAACAAUUACGAGGGCCUUGCGGGGAGCCCUGGAGCUUCGGCUUCGCCUCUCGCUCAGUCCGUUUGUGUGAGGGCUACAGAGCCCUUCAGAGACAUGAGGCAGAGAUUGCUAACGGACGGGACAGGAGAGGGGCGAGGGUCCUUUAAGAGUCACCAAAGACUUGGGUGCACACAGUUGGAAGCCCAAAGGGUUGAGGACCCCGCGGGGGAACAGCAUUCGGAGGCACAGAGACCCCAGAGGAGCACAAAGACAGCCCCCAAACCCAGGAUGGAGUGGAGCCCAGCUCAGCACACACAGGGACCUGAGCUGGCUGAGACCCUGAGACACCCGGACGGGUGCCCUGGGGAAAGGAACUGAACCCAGCCCUCCCCCAUAAGGCAGGGGACCCGGGCCGGUGAGAUCGAGAACGAGAAGGAGCCCCACGCACUGACACGGCUGCCAGGACAGCCCCAGCUUAUUUUUAAACUCAGAUCUUGGGCGGGCAGCUUCAGCCGUAGGGACCUCAGGGUGAAUGAACUGUUCCUGGCCCGGCCAGGCCGGUCCCAGAGCUGCUUCGGGAUCCUGCUCCCCACCCCCUUGCCCCUACACUGCUUUAACUUCCCAGGCCAGAUGGGAAGAGGAGGAGAGAGAGCAG
rnacentral:lncRNA from 1 species